rnacentral:rRNA from 1 species
UACGGAGGAUCCGAGCGUUAUCCGGAAUUAUUGGGUUUAAAGGGUGCGUAGGCGGCCAUUUAAGUCAGCGGUGAAAUUUUGCAGCUUAACUGUAACAGUGCCGUUGAUACUGUUUGGCUAGGAUUUGGUUGUAGUGUGCGGAAUGUGUGGUGUAGCGGUGAAAUGCUUAGAUAUCACACAGAACACCGAUUGCGAAGGCAGCACACUAAGUCAUUAUUGACGCUGAGGCACGAAAGUGUGGGGAUCAAACAGGAUUA